rnacentral:rRNA from 1 species
GAAUUCGAUAGCGGCCGACGUCUGAUUAGCUAGUUGGUGGGGUAAAGGCCUACCAAGGCGACGAUCAGUAGCGGGUCUGAGAGGAUGAUCCGCCACACUGGGACUGAGACACGGCCCAGACUCCUACGGGAGGCAGCGGUGGGGAAUUUUGGACAAUGGGCGCAAGCCUGAUCCAGCCAUUCCGCGUGAGUGAAGAAGGCCUUCGGGUUGUAAAGCUCUUUCGGCAGGAACGAAACGGCGGGCUCUAACAUAGCCUGUUACUGACGGUACCUGCAGAAGAAGCACCGGCUAACUACGUGCCAGCAGCCGCGGUAAUACGUAGGGUGCGAGCGUUAAUCGGAAUUACUGGGCGUAAAGCGUGCGCAGGCGGAUUGUUAAGCAAGACGUGAAAUCCCCGGGCUUAACCUGGGAAUGGCGUUUUGAACUGGCAGUCUAGAGUGCGUCAGAGGGGGGUGGAAUUCCACGUGUAGCAGUGAAAUGCGUAGAGAUGUGGAGGAACACCGAUGGCGAAGGCAGCCCCUGGGAUGACACUGACGCUCAUGUACGAAAGCGUGGGUAGCAAACAGGAUUAGAUACCCUGGUAGUCCACGCCGUAAACGAUGGGUGCUAGCGUCGGUCAGCAUGCUGUUCGGUGGCAGAGCUAACGCAUUAA